rnacentral:rRNA from 1 species
GGAGCUUGCUUUAUAUAACUUAGCAGCGAACGGGUGAGUAACACGUAGAUAAUCUAUCCUAUACUGGGGGAUAGCCCGAUGAAAGUUGGAUUAAUACCGCAUAUAGCUAUAUAGUUGCAUGAUUAUGUAGUGAAAGAUUUAUUGGUAUAGGAGGAGUCUGCGGCACAUUAGCUAGUAGGUGAGGUAAAGGCUUACCUAGGCGACGAUGUGUAGCCGGUCUGAGAGGAUGAACGGCCACAAUGGAACUGAGACACGGUCCAUACUCCUACGGGAGGCAGCAGUGGGGAAUAUUGCACAAUGGGGGAAACCCUGAUGCAGCAACGCCGCGUGAGUGAAGAAGGUUUUCGGAUUGUAAAGCUCUGUUAGCAGGGAAGAGGAAGGACGGUACCUGCAGAGGAAGCCACGGCUAACUACGUGCCAGCAGCCGCGGUAAUACGUAGGUGGCAAGCGUUGUUCGGAAUAACUGGGCGUAAAGGAUGCGUAGGCGGUUAAACAAGUUAUAUGUUAAAUAUAUAGGCUUAACCUGUAGAAAGCAUAUAAAACUGUUUAACUAGAGUGCAGGAGAGGUAAGUGGAAUUCCUAGUGUAGCGGUGAAAUGCGUAGAGAUUAGGAAGAACACCAGUGGCGAAGGCGACUUACUGGACUGUAACUGACGCUGAGGCAUGAGAGCAUGGGGAGCAAACAGGAUUAGAUACCCUGGUAGUCCAUGCUGUAAACGAUGGGUACUAGGUGUGGGUUGUGAAUAACAAUUCGUGCCGUC